GACGAACGCUGGCGGCGUGCCUAAUACAUGCAAGUCGAGCGGACCGGAUUGGGGCUUGCCUUGAUUCGGUCAGCGGCGGACGGGUGAGUAACACGUGGGCAACCUGCCCGCAAGACCGGGAUAACUCCGGGAAACCGGAGCUAACACCGGAUAACACCGAAGACCGCAUGGUCUUCGGUUGAAAGGCGGCCUUUGGGCUGUCACUUGCGGAUGGGCCCGCGGUGGGUUAGCUAGUUGGUGAGGUAACGGUUUACCAAGGCGACGAUGCGUAGCCGGCCUGGGAGGGUGACCGGCCAAACUGGGACUGAGACACGGCCCAGACUCCUACGGGAGGCAGCAGGAGGGAAUCUUCCGCAAUGGGCGGAAGCCUGACGGAGCGACGCCGCGGGAGCGAAGAAGGCCUUCGGGUCGUAAAGGUCGGUUGUGAGGGACGAAGGAGCGUCGUUCGAAGAGGGCGGCGCGGUGACGGUACCUCACGAGAAAGCCCCGGCUAACUACGUG
rnacentral:rRNA from 1 species